rnacentral:rRNA from 1 species
GGGUCAGUAGGUUGGUCGUGCCACCGGUACGUACUGGUCUCACUGAUUCCUCCUUCCUGAAGAACCGUAAUGCCAUCAAUUUGGUGUUGCGGGGAAACAGGACUGUUACUUUGAAAAAAUUAGAGUGUUUAAAGCAAGCUAACGCUUGAAUACAUUAGCAUGGAAUAAUGAAAUAGGACGAUCGAUCCUAUUUUGUUAGUUUCUAGGAUUGACGUA